rnacentral:rRNA from 1 species
ACGGCGAGUGAAGCGGCAACAGCUCAAAUUUGAAAUCUGGCUUCGGCCCGAGUUGUAAUUUGUAGAGGAUGCUUUGGGCGCGGCUCCAACUGAGUUCCCUGGAACGGGACGCCACAGAGGGUGAGAGCCCCGUAUAGUUGGAUGCCUAGCCUGUGUAAAGCUCCUUCGACGAGUCGAGUAGUUUGGGAAUGCUGCUCUAAAUGGGAGGUAAAUUUCUUCUAAAGCUAAAUAUUGGCCAGAGACCGAUAGCGCACAAGUAGAGUGAUCGAAAGAUGAAAAGCACUUUGAAAAGAGGGUUAAAUAGCACGUGAAAUUGUUGAAAGGGAAGCGCUUGUGACCAGACUUGGGCCUGGCGGACCAUCCGGUGUUCUCACCGGUGCACUCCGCCAGGCACAGGCCAGCAUCGGUUCUCGUGGGGGGAUAAAGGUCCCGGGAACGUAGCUCCUCCGGGAGUGUUAUAGCCCGGGGCGUAAUGCCCUCGCGGGGACCGAGGUUCGCGCAUCUGCAAGGAUGCUG